UACAGAGGUCUCAAGCGUUGUUCGGAUUCAUUGGGCGUAAAGGGUGCGUAGGUGGCGGGGUAAGUCAGGUGUGAAAUCUCGGGGCUCAACCCCGAAACUGCACUUGAUACUGCCUUGCUCGAGUACUGGAGAGGAGACUGGAAUUUACGGUGUAGCGGUGAAAUGCGUAGAUAUCGUAAGGAAGACCAGUGGCGAAGGCGGGUCUCUGGACAGUUCCUGACGCUGAGGAGCGAAAGCGUGGGGAGCGAACAGG
rnacentral:rRNA from 1 species